UAUGAAUCAGCUAGGGUUAAGGCCUAUUUCAGUAUGAAGAUGCUUAUAUCAGAGGCAGCUGAAUUCCUGCGCUUGGUGAAAGAUUAAAAUCCCACAUGAGUCAGUGUUUGUAGAUAAGGUACUGGUAACUUCAAGGUCUGAGGAGCUUUCAAAAUAUGGUUUAACAAGAUGGUUAAAAAAUUCCUCGUUUUAAACAGUUUAUUUUUAAUUUUAAAGAAGAAAGGAGUAAUAUAAAGAAAAUUAAAAAAAGGGAGGGCUACCUGAGCUUUUCUUUCCUUACUGCUGCCCUUGGCACAGGUGGGAUGGUGUCAAGCAUGUGUGUUUAAUCAGCUCAUCUGUUUUAGGCAGUGGUCUGUUAGUGGAAGAGGGGAGUGAUAUGACAACAGGUUCAGACAGUAUGUCAAAGCGACUCAUUUUGUGGUUACUUCUCUUAUUCAUAAAUGAAAAAAAGGGGGUUUGUUAUUUUGUUUUUUCUAGUGAUCUUUGGUUGCUCAAUUUUUGUGUUUUUAUUUUAUUUGUUAUAUUUUUUGCAAGGAUGGACUUACUGACUUCAAUGCUCAGUUUAGGCUGGGUUGACCACUUUCCUACUUUUGUUGAUUUUUUGGCCAAGGUCCUGGCCUCUCUUUGGUUAUUCUUUUUCAUAUAUCUAUUUGGUGUUCUCACUUUUCUUUCUUUUUUGUUGUUUUACUUUUUCUGCACAGAUGAUCUUGAUCCCUUAUAAUAAAAUGUUUCCAAACUAUCAUGCCGGUGUCUUGUUGGUUACAUGUAAUUGUCUUUCUUGUUUGCUAAGGUAGUUCGAGGCCCUGACUUUGAGGUCAUUACAUGUUUGAGGGCUUGUCUGUCCCACCGGGCUAGUUGCUGCAUCAGAAACAAUAAAAUGUAUUUUGUCAUUUUGUGUGAGUGUUUUUGUGGUGCUGUAGAGUGCAUUUGUGGCAAUUAUUUUUUUUUGCAACCUGUGUUGUGCUACACAAAGUGUGCUAACAGUAUCACGGUAUCAUAGUUCACACUUCACAGUAAUUCUGUUUUGCCUUUUUUUUUUUUUUUUAGUGUGACUUUGCGCGACUUCGUGCUGGCCCUCCUGGCGCAGUGGGGGGGUUGCUCUUUUGGCUGGGCUGGGGCCUGCACUCUCUGUGCUCCUGUGCCUUCCCGCUCUCUGGCGUGGGGGGCCUCUGCGGCGGUCCCGCGUUCCCUGGUCUGGGUGAUUGGCGGAAUUGUCGGGCGGGCG